ensembl:lncRNA
CUCAUUUAAUUGAAUAGCACAAUUUGCAAAAGCAGUGUAUUUAAAAUUUAACAGAAGCACAUGUCAAAAACUGGCCACAAUUACACUUGUUAAAAAUUUCUUAAUAUAAUAAAUAUAUAAUUCAGCAUUUCAAUCAAUUAAUUGCUCAUUUGCCUUCUAGUCAAAAUUAUUGACUUUUAUAUUCAUAAAUUAUUGACACUCAAAUUAUUUAAACUUCAUGUGUAUAUCAAGUAACAUUUUUAUUCUCUAUUUUGAAAAAUGCUUUGCAUUGACUUGAUAUAUUUACUUUGUCUCAGGCAUUAUUUUAGGAACUAUAUUUGUAUCAAAUCAUUUAAUCUAAGAACAGCCAUGUCAGGUAAGUAUGAUUUUUCUCUGCAUUUUGCAGAAGAGCAAUCUGAAACACAAAGAAAUUAAAUAAUAUCAACAAGGUUGUACAGAUAAUACUGGAUCAAACAUGAAAUUUGAAUCUAGGCAACCACAUGAAUUUGAAUCUACUCAGCUAUAAGACAAAAACUGCCUGAUUACCUUAAAACAGGGCCAGUCCUUCCUCCUGCCUUCAACCCCCACCCCCAAUAAUGUUUCAGUCCUUUCUUCUUAACUCCUGGUUGAAUGCUGCUGCUGCUGCUGCUAAGUUGCUUCAGUCAUGUCCGACUCUGUGCAACCCCAUAGACAGCAGCCCACCAGGCUCCCCCGUCCCUGGGAUUCUCCAGGCAAGAACACUGGAGUGGGUUGCCAUUUCCUUCUCCAAUGCAUGAAAGUGAAAAGUGAAAGUGAAGUCGCUCAGUCGUGUCCAACUCUUAGCGACCCCAUGGUCUGCAGCCUACCAGGCUCCUCCAUCCAUGAGAUUUUCCAGGCAAGAGUACUGGAGUGGGGUGCCAUUGCCUUCUCCACCUGGUUGAAUGAGGAUGUGGUAACUGGAGUGCUUGACUAUCAAGAUGGGAGGAAAGUGAAGGAAAAGAGCUGAGGGCGCUUUCCAGGUGUAACAGUGAGAGACUAUAGAGAAGAAGGUGGUUGCUCAGAGGGAUGCACCAAGGAAGCUUCCCCUUGCAUAUCUCAGCCUAGAUCUGACCUUCACCACUUCCUACACCUGGGAGAUCGAGGUGCUGAACCUGAAUUAGUUAUAGGAUGAGUUUAAGACUUUGCAUCUGUUCCAAUAUAAAAUAUCUAAGCCCAAUUUUACUUAGAGUUGACUAUACAUUUUAGCUAUGUGUUAAAUGAGGUUCGAUUAUUAAGUCACACAUCCAAAUAGAACUUCAUUGUUAAGCUCUGAAGUCUUAAAUAUACUCAAUAUUCAAAAUUCGUGAAUAAAUACAAUUCCUUUUCUCCCAAAGAAGGCAUAAUCACCAAAAUAAAGAGGCCAUUCUAUUCUUUAGGAAGGUCUUGGCAGCUUUCAAAUAUUUCUCAGUGGCAACAUCCCACAUCAGCAAGUAAAUGACAUACUAGCUUGCUACCAAAGCUUUGUUACAUGUCACCCAAAAAUAUGACUCCCAGUGGUAAAUUCUUAUAAUGUUCCCUAAAAUGUAUGAUUCCUAUCAUGUUUUAGAGGUGACUACUGAUUGAGCUGGCAGGAGAUAAUUCCUUAGGGGGAAAACUUGAAUUUUUUUUUUUUUAAUGUUAAGGUUGACUUUAUCCCAUUAAAAGUGAUGGUAUAUUAAGUUAAAAUAUCUUUUAAAAAAUGAAAUUGUGUAUGGACUACAAUGUCUGUCCUCCAUAUAUUUAUAUUUUGCAGAUAAGAAAAACUAUUCACUAUAUAAUAUUUCAGACUGAGCAGAUGUAAUUUCUAAAUUAGUAACACUGUAACCAACAUUGUGACCAAGACCUUGAUGCUGGGAAAGACUGAAGGCAGGAGGAGAAGGGGAUGACAAAGGAUGAGAUUGUUGGAUGGCAUCACCAACUGUAUGGACAUGAGUUUGAGUAAGCUCUGGGAGGGUUCGAUGGUGAAAUAGUUUCUGGAGACUUCUCUAAGUGAGGAUUACAGACUUUUUGAUGGAUACUUGAAGUUUUCUCCCAUUCUCUUUUCAUAGCAAGCAAAAUUAACAUUUUCCCUUCUUAUAACAAGCUUUUAGUUUCUGCUGCUGCUGCUGCUAAGUUGCUUCAGUUGUGUCCUACUCUGUGCAACCCCAUAGACAGCAGCCCAAUGAUAAUUUUCACAUCAUGAAAAACACACAGAAUCUUCUAACUCAGCUACUUAAAUAUUGUAAGAUUCUGCUCUCUGGUAUCAUCUGCUUUCCAAUCCUCUUGCUAAAGUUUCAUAGACUUAAAAACAUUUUUUUUUAGGAGAAAAUAGACUGUAGGUUUCUGCCGUUUUUCUGACCCGGCAUAUCCCAAACCAUUGAAACAGAAGCCUGGGUAGCACGUGCUGUGGGUUGUCUGCCCAUGACCAAUCUCAGGCUUCUUCCUGAGGGCAGAGACCUGACUGGUCUUGUGGGUCUUGUGCUCUGGAAAGAAAGCACCUUUCCAGCCCUAGGAAGGUAAAGCUUGAUUCAGUUCAGUUCAGUUCAGUCACUCAGUCAUGUCUGACUCUUUGCGACCCCAUGGCUUCCCAGUCCAGGCUUCCCAGCACACCAGGCUUCCCUGUCCAUCACUAACUCCCAGAGCCUACUCAAACUCAUGUCCAUUGAGUCGGUGAUGCCAUCCAACCAUCUCAUCCUCUGUUGUCCCCUUUUCCUCCCACCUUCAAUCUUUCCCAGCAUCAGGGUAUUUUCAAAUGAGUCAGUUCUUUGCAUUAGGUGGCCAAAGUAUUAGAGUUUCAGCUUCAGCAUCAGUCCUUCCAAUGAAUAUUCAGGACUGAUUUCCUUUAGGAUGGACUGGAUGGAUCUGCUUGUACUCCAAGGGACUCUAAAGAGUUUUCUCCAACACCACACUUCAAAAGCAUCAAUUCUUCAGCACUCAUCUUUCUUUAUAGUCCAACUCUCACAUCCAUACAUCAAUAC